UGUAGAUAAAGCGCUAUAUAAGUGCAGUCCAUAACAAAUGUAUUUUUCCUAAGAUAUCGACUAAAGUAGAUUUUUUAAUGCAUCUCAAGAUUCAAAUUAACUUUGCCGGUUCCAUUCCUUAACCGAAGAGCACUGACAUCCGUAUUAUUGGGAGGCUUUUAUUUUGAAGGUGGCUUUCGCCGCUCGUUGGCGACCUAUUGCCGUAAUGCCUUGUAUGAACAAAAUGAGGGGCGGCUGGCUUGACCGCAGUGAGAAAUGUGUCAAGAAACCUUCAAUUGUAAAAUACGCCCCGCCUUAAAUGGGUGCUUUCUCAGACAGAAGAGCGGAAACCUGACACGCACCCUUUACAAUCAUCAAGACACCUUUGUUAGUCUCUAUUUAGUCCAGCUCCUCUAUACAAAGAGAAUGACUAAACUGACGAGCUAAGUAAUCAGUGGAAACGGAAGGGUAGGUGUUUUUUUGAAUCAAAACAGAGAAAGCUAAUGGUGCGUUCGGCUAGCAUGCUAGCUGCACAGCGACUGGAGUUUAUCGAUCGAAGCACAACCGUGUAAACGUGUUUUUGUCCCAAUAAUGACAAGCGAUGCAUGAAAUAUGCCACGCUGAUUCAUCAGGUCUUACCCUGCUAUGAGGAAGAUGACCCGCAGAGGCUCCCGGGCGAUGGUAAACAGGAACAGAGCGAUUGCAGGGCCGAAGGCAAUGAAGUUUUUUCAAAAAGAAAAGAAAAUGAAGAGUCACAAACAUCUUGUCUGUUAACCGUCUGUCGAGCUGGACAAAGCAGUCAAACAUCUCGUGAGGACAGAACAGAUUAUUAUCCAUCCGUCCGUCAAUCCAUUUUCUGUCGCGCUUCUCCUCACAAGGGUCGCGGGCGUGCUGGAGCCUAUCACAGCCAUCUUCGGGCGAGAGGCCGCUCGCCUUGACAUCUGUGGUCAUGAAGUCCUUUCAACGUCUCGUGCCGGACCACCUCAAGAGCGUCACGGGUCCCCUGCUGGACCCCCUGCAGUUUGCCUACCGGGCGAACAGGUCUGCGGACGAUCCAGUCAACAUGGGACCGCACUUCAUCCUAGAACACCUCCACAGCGCGGGGACCUACGCGAGGAUCCUGUUCGUGGACUUCAGCUCAGCGUUCAACACCGUCAUCCCCGAACUCCUUUCCUCCAAGCUUCUCCAGCUCAGCGUCUCGCCUGCAAUCUGCCAGCGGAUGUACAGCUUCCUGACGGGCAGGACACAGCAGGUGAGGCUGGGGGAGGCCACCUCAUCCGCACGCAGCAUCAGCACUGGGGCGCCCCAAGGUCGUGUCCUCUCUCCGCUGCUCUUCUCUCUCUACACUGAACGACUGCACCUCAGCGCACCCGACUGUCAAACUCCCGAAGUUUGCAGAUGACACCGCUGUCAUCGGCCUCAUCGAGGACGGUGACGAGUCUGCGUAUAUUGACACUGAACUAUAUUUAUCAUUCCAUCGGACCUGUGACUAAAAAGCAAAGUGUGGAGAGUCUCUGUGUCGCCGGAAUGCAUGAGUGCAGUCAGUGAAUGGGACGACCAUUGCCAACAGUCUCUCCAUUAUUUCUCACUCGUGAUUCGCAGGGAUAAGGACUGCACCGGACUGCCGAAAUAUGCAGAUAAUUGACACCUAUUAGAAGUGCAUUGGGGGAAAAAAUAUUGAAACCCCCCAAAUUCUUGAAUAAGCGUGGAUAAACCAAACCGUCAGUAAGCGUUUUGGGGGGGGUUGGUUCUCUCCCAAAAAGAAAAAACAAACAAAAAAGAAAAACAAUUGGAAAUAGUUUUUGGUUUUGUGGGGGGGUCAACAAAUAGGUGACUCCACGAGUAUGCGGCGGUCCACUGUACUGUGUUCUGCAUUAAGCGUGCUCCGCAGGCUCUCAGUCGGGUUGGUUGAUUUAUUUAUUACGUCACCGGUAUCGAUUUAUCAAAUGACGAAGCACACGGUGCUUACCAAAUGCGCAAAUGACAUUCAUCUGAAAGAAAAUAUUCCUUCCAGCGGAGCGAAGCUCUGUGAGCUCAUUUGCAUGAUUUACACCCUCACAUGACAAGUAAAAAUAGAGUGCAGGGCACGAUGUGUCACGGCAUACAGUCCACUUCAUCAACACUUCCGCUUCCAAAUCGUCCCACAAUUCACUCCAAGAACCCAGCUGGCAGGUUCGAGGCACAUUUGGAAUCCACUCGGGAGUUCCUUUGACUCUGUUAUUGCUUUGAAUACAAAGCUGAUUGGUUUUCCUUUGGGUACUACACACCGCCCAUUGGUUGAGGUCAGGGGAUGUUUUUCUCCGCAUAUAGCCAUGCUCGCCACAGCCUACAGACCAAGAUCAAGAUCUGGUCCUGUGAAUGGACACGCUCGACCGACUUUAAUAUGUCAUUCAUCCCCAGGAUGAGAUGAAUGUAUGUCAACUUCGGACCACAUCUGUAAUAACUCGAGUACAGACUCAAUUGCAACGGUACCUUGAUUUGAUUACCCAAACAUUUACGAAUGUUUCAAGUUACGAGCAGUCACUGGAUUUCUUGCUUUAUUAUACGACAAAGGGUUAGCUCCAAGCAGGCUUCGAGUCGUCUUCUGCUCGAGUGAAGUCAAAGAAGAAAAAAAGUAGAGCUAAAGUCGCCGAUGCCCAUGA